CAUAUACAAUUUUCUGAAAGAAAAUCCUAGAGGUGGGUUCUUAUAUAUGGAACAGUGACCUCAAGUGGAUUUACACAACGCUUGCCAGGGAAGUUCAUCUUUUGCAAGGUCCUGCCAAACACAUGAAAUUAAGCAAAGUGUGAACCCUGGUGCCGGCAGCUCUCUGUGGCCAUGGAGCUACCAGAGCUGGAAGGACUACAGGAAGGAUAUCAAGGCUUCAGCCAGAAGGAAAUAGAAACCUCAGAGGACAAUGAUCAGGAGGUUGCCACAGAAGUAAUGGACUCUAAAAUGAUCCAUGGGUGAUGCCAAAGACCAGUGGUAGAAUUACAUGCUCAUUUAUGUUUUCCCAAAGAAGAGAAAAUCAUCAACGUUUAAAUUUAGAUUUUCGGUGGGCUAGAACGCUAUAUUGCAGAAGUAAGCAGUGUAGGUCAUUCCACAUCAGUUGGCAGACUUAGAUAUUGAAAUGCAAAAUGGGCACCUGCAAUCUGGUAUAAUCCUUUCUUGGGUUUCACAAUUCUAAAGCACAGUGCUGAAUGCCAUGUGGUCUUAAUAAAAAUUAAUCUGACUUUCAGCAGAAAAACCAAAGAAGACUUUUUUUUCUUUUAGAUUCCUUUCUUAAUAAAUUUUUCCCCUAAA